CUUCCUUCUCUUCUCUUCUCUGCUGUGCCUCUUUGUCGAGGAGCUCCAACGAGGGUAGCUCUCCAACAGCGGUGAGACGACGAGCAUAGCUCUCCAACCCCGGCGAGGAUUGAGGUUGAACGCAGCUUUUACAACCCCGACGAGCGCAGCUUCUCACGAGAACGACGAGCGAGUCACGCACGACGACCGACGAGACCGAGUCACUCUCCGUCUUCACAGAUUUUCUGCGCAGAUGUCAACUUCAAGUGUUAAUGGCAGUACCUCAGAUCAAUUGACGUAUUGCAACAGAAAUUGUCCUCAAUGUCGGAAAAAAGCAAUCAUUCGAAUUUCGGAGACGGAACGAAACAAGAAUAAGCUAUUUUAUUGUUGUCCUGAUUGCAGUGGGUUUAUUGCAUGGUGCUUGCCUACAAAUUCACAACGUACGGAGGAAGGGCAAGUGCGAAUGGAGAAUACACCGACUGUCACCGAACAACUUCAAAGUAUGGGCGAACAUCUUCGAUUUCAAAGCGAACAACAUCAAUUUCAGAAUGCGCAGAUGCAAAAAUUGCAAAGAGACAUAAAUAGAAAUUCGUGUUGUAUUAAUGGGAUCUUCAUCUUGCUUGUAAUUGGUGUGAUAUUAAUUAUGAAGAUGUAAUAAUUUUUAUACAA